CACCCAAGCAUACAGAGACAGAUGGAAUGAAAGAAAGAAAAAGUAGCUCCGCAGCUCGCCCAGAAGAAGAAAGACCCGCCGCUAACGAUUUGGAAAUCCGAAUUCAUUGGUUUAGCCAUUCCAAUAACAAUUAGUUCCAUACCUUGGUCUCUUCCCUUGGUCCAUAAUAGUCAAAUGAAUGAUCUAUCAUGCAGAUCCCCUAUCGGCAAUUCUCUAGUUUACAAAUAGGCCUCUGAAUCGAUUCACCGACAUCUGAUCAUUGAUACCGACAUCAGCUACUGAUAUCUAGACUUGGUGCAAUCUAAUCGAUUAUUGGGAAUUGGAAGUAGUAGCUCUAGCUGAAAGAAAUCCCCCACCCAAGUUAGGUAACUAAUAGGCAGGCACCCCAUCUAAUUAGUACUUUAGAGUAAAGAAAAGACUGUUCACUUGCAUUCCCGCACCUCAUGAGUAUCUUUCGACCGAGGAUCGCCUGACAUGUUCCGCUCUUGUUAAAGAAGCAUAUCGAUCAAGUGUCAAUUCGUCGGAUGAGACCUUUGCUUUCCUUCCACAGGUUAAUGAGCGCUAUAUUCGGGAAGUACAGGAUACCAGAGAAACUAGCGAGUAUUGGGGUGGGGGCACUACUUCAGACCGCUUUGCUUUGGACUUGCUCUACCUUAUAAAUUGGGAAAUGGCUAUCAUCACAUCGAGCUGUCUACUUCUGAUCCAUAGGAGGGAGUGAACCGUUAUGUUCCUGAAGUCAGUAUUGGAAACAUAGGUAUCCAGAGCUAUUCUUUGAGCAGCAUCGACCUAAUUCCUAUGUUUUUCCGAAGAUCAUUCAGGGAAGAGAAGAAGACAUGGGAAAGAAGAGCACGAUUGUAAGUAGGCAUCAAUAGAUAGAUAUGAUUGGUUGACGAAGAUUGGCUUCUUGGGCCCCCGUAGGGCUAUGUUGCUAUGCUGCUAGAAAGAAAGGAAGAGUUCGAUGUCCAUCAGUUCGUGGUUUCGGAGAUUGCUUACCGACUUUCAUUCAUAUCUGAAAAGAUCAAGGGUGCCGAAGUAUUCAUUGAUCCAAAGAAAGAAGCUGACACAGGCAAGACCUGGAUGAUCGAGUUAUCAUAAUGACUUGGGUUAUGCCAACUUGUGUUGUGUUUUGUAAUCAGAGCUACUUGUCCUUGCGUUGCCCAAGAGAAGCCAUCUUUGCUAGGCUGUUUUUCGGUUGUCUAGCCAUGCGUGGGAGCGAAGAUAACUCCAAACACGUUUUGGUAGAUGAGGGGAGACUUGCUGUAUCCAUUUCCCUCUCUGGCCAAUGAUUUGAGGAGCUAGCAUCAGAUGGUCUAUCGUGGCCUUUUUCUUGAUAAAAACGUAUAAAAUGAAGCGUAGAUGAGACACUGUUUAGCGAGGAACUUGUGGAAGGCUUGGGCUAUCCUCGUACUCUUUGGUACUGACUCAUUAUUAUUAUGCGGCAAUCAUAUCACUGUCUUUAUCGACUCCAUGCAAAACAUGUUCAUUGAAUUUGAUAGGCCUAAAAUGGCUUUCAUUAUGACCAAAACUACUAACAUGCAAAAACUGGUAAUAGGCCCGCGGAUCUCUCUGGUUAUCAAUGCUAUUUUAUUGUGUUCUGUAGCCUCGCUAACCACAGGCGUGGAUCCACAAGAACAGAAGAAGCAACAAGAUCGUGCUUCCCUGCUUUAGGAGUUUCUUCCACCGGUGUGCCUAUAGGGAGAUAAUGACUCUCCUAAAACCCUUAUUUGCGGUUAAUUGUUAAUUGGAUCUACACUUUUGUUGGAUCCACAUCUUUGAAAGAAGACUAGUUUGGCACGGGCGGGCUAGAAAGACUUCGAGGAUAAAACCGAUCAUUCAACAGAUAAGGUCCUUUUGGGUGACUCUGGAGCAAAUCUAUAGCAUCAGCCAGUCUAGCGCGUUCUAACCACUAUCGCUUUCGUCUUGUAAAAGUUUAAUAAAUGCGACUAUGAAUUAGGGCCAGUAGACUAGAACUAUAAAUUGACCCGGCGUCGACGCGUAGCCGCUCACCAUUAUGGUUCUAUUGGUUCUCAUCGAAGUAUCUAAAUGGUUCUAUUGGGGUUCUCUUCGAGAUAUCAAAAUAUUAUUUGGAAUUUACCACCCGUGUGGAGCCUUGAAUGCGACUCUAAAUUGGAUCAGUCACACCGGGCGAUCACUCUCAUGGAGAGCUCUUAUGGCUCUCAUGUGAUAACUAACUCGCCUUCCCUAAGUCUUCGCCUAACUCGCCUUUCUCAGAAUCUUCUGAAUCGGGAUCCGUGGUUGCGUCUGUUGGCAGUAGCACUUCUUCAUUGUAUUUGUGACUUGGCUUUGUCCGUUGACAUUCUAACACAUUGGCAUUCUAAUCUUGGAUUAUUUCUUAAUAAAUUCGACCCGGAAGGCUUUUUAGCUGAACAUAAGGAGUGGUGUGCGGACCCAAAGGCAGUUACCAAUAUAUCAUUAGAUUAGUGAAUUCCCACGCGCCAAAUAGGCGUCACCACACUGCCUCCCAAAGGCUUCUUUUAGGCUUCCCCGCCACAUCACACGCUUGCUUGCUUUUGCUAAUCCGAUCCAGAAAAAACGAACAUUCUCCCACGUGCUUCGGGCCUUGCAAUAGCAGUAGAUGCUACAGACGUGGUGUCAUUAUCAGUGAUUCCUCAAUCGAUCAGAAGAAAGGGAAUAUAACCUGCCCCUCAUUGUCCAGGUUUUCUUUGAACAACAUCGGCCGGACAAGAACAAAGGUUUUCACCUCCUUCGUCCUCGGAAUUGUUCGAGCUACAUUCCGUUCAGACUAGAUAUCCGGAAUCUAGUCCUCUCUGUCCUAGCUUAACAACCGUUUUUUUUUUGUCUUAAGACAAUAAACCACUUCGUUUAGCCUGCCAAGAGUCGCAUUCCUAACAACAGGAACAUCUGAGUUUAUCUCACUAUUUGCAUUCUUAGGUCCGGACAAGAACAAGAGGUUUUCACCAUCGUCUUUGCGCUUUGCUGGAACUAUGUAAGGUUUACGCUCGUGACUUCACGAGAUAGUGAUUCUCCUCACGACCACCAUUUCAUUUACCUUCACCCCGGGACUCAGGAACAACAUCUUAGAACCUGUUUUAUCCUCUGAACAACCAACAACAAACACUAGAAUUAGAGUUAUAAACCUUCCGAGAUGGCUUCAUCUAUUGCUUCUUUGUUGUCUUUCUUAUCUGGCAGAUGAAAACGGGAAUCUUUUUCUAGAUUGUGUGAGUGGUCAGUUGUGAUGGAGAACAGGGGAUUCCCAAUCCAAAAAAGACUGGCUUCUUUUCGAAAACUUCCAUGCCAGCUAUGUACCCAAACCUAGCAAUUCUAGAUUCUCCUAGUAAACUGCAGGUUUUUGGGUGCUAAAAAAGGAAACUUCCACGCCGGCUAUGCACGGGAACCAUCCGUUAAUCCGUGUGAACCAAGAAGAGAAAAUCGAAGCUUUUGACACGCCUGUCUAGCCAAUCCAAUAUAUAUCUUUCGUAUCCCUGCUAGCGUAAAUGACACACUAUUUUUGCGAGGAAAGUCACCUUGCAAACAAGCACGAUUCCCUAUGAAAGUGAAAGGCAAUUUUUCCCCGGGACACAAGAAGAGUGCAGGAUAUAUAAAAGAGAACUUGCGGAGGGCGAGACAACUUCAGUCAUGAUUGCAGAAUGUGAGGACUAUUUAGUCAUUGAAGAUGAAGAGUGUUAUAGUGCGUGAUGAUGCUUUGACUUGGGUUGUGGACUCAGGUGCGUCCUUCCACAUCACACAAGGAGUUUUUCGAAUCCUAGACCUGUGGCAUCAAUGGCUCUGUGAGGAUGGGAAAGAGUAGAACAUCAACAAUUGUGGGCAAGCCACCUUCACAAAUGGUGCGAAACAAACACAAAAAAAAGGUUGGUGCUCGAUGAUGUGAGACAUUCAAUUCAAAAAAUCUCUUGUCAGUAGUGGGCAAGCUUUAUGAUAUUGGCCAUGGCAGUUAUUUUGGUGAAGGAAAAUGGAAGCGAAGCGCUUCUUUGAUUGUGGCUCGAGGAAUAAUUGCUUAUAGAAAGAUGUAAUAGAAAUACGAAUACGAAUAUAAUCAAAUUAUCGACUCCGGGUCCGCCAUUCCUUAAUCAUUCCUUAAGCUUAAAUAGCCGACAUUCCUUCCGCAGCUGACUCGUUCAUCCCCUUCCAUUCCUGCUCUAUAGUAGGGGUUAUGUCCCCCUUUCCUAGUGAGAGCAAUACGCAAUGCUGCUACGAAUAGAGAUAGUGCCCUAUCCACUGCAAAACGGUACUCUGCUUCAACCACACGGUAUGGCUCCCUCAUUUCAAACCAAGCUGUAGACCGAGUAGGAAACAGCUAAAGGUUCCGGUCCAAAGGUAAGAAGAUCCGUUGGUUGGAAAUCCGUAUCAAUUGUUACUGGUUCUCCCGUUCUUGGUACUGUGUCAUGUGACUCUAAAGCCCCAACUAGGCUAGAUCGAGAUCUUGGUCCUUGCUAGGCUUACUCGCGUAAAUAACCCCCAUGUCUUAGGUGUUCUCUCGGGGGUAAGCGAGUCAGUACAAUCGGUUGCACAACCGUCCAGUCCAUAUCAUAAUUGUCAUAAUCAAUCAUAUCAGUAGGUGGCAUACUUGCCUGCUCAAGUCCAUCUACUAUGGAUGUGGGCUUGGACCAAGCCAUCCCCAAACACUGAACCGGAUCUUGAAAACGGGACUGAACUGAAUCCGACUUCUUGGUAGCCCAGUGGCUUUUGGUCCCCAUCGGAAAGUGCUGAAUGGAUUGCUCCUUGCCCAACGACAAAAAGAAAGAAAUUUAGGAGAGGAUUGAUAGGUUUAAGCAUUCAGGGCUGGUCGCUCUUAUGGAUACCUGUGAGCUAGAGUCGGGAAUCGAAAAGGAGACAACGGAAGCCGUACAGAUCUAGUUGGGAAUGCUGUUCAUGCAGUGGAGAGCGUAAAUGACCGGCCCUUGAGGCGCGAGUAGACUUAUCAUAUAGAAAGGAAAGAGAUAAGCGGAGGGAGGAUGGUUUGAUGAUAGCCAAGAUCUCCAUCUCAUUUGUCACUCUCGUAUUCUUAAUAGGAAUCGGCAAGCAGAUACAACCACUAGGCCAUUGCCAUUCGACUAGUCUAUCAGAGUAUCCUACGAAGUCAGGUCCAGUAGGCGCAGGAUGCGCUAAGCCAUUCGAUCUUCCUGCUGGUGGUCCACCAUAGAGCUCCUAUGUAGCCGUUUGUUUUCUCGCUUAACUAAUUUGUAUGAGGCGAUACAGCUGAGAUCAGCCAACGGUUCGAGCACUUAGCACAAUGUGCCACUUAACCGGACGAGCGCAAGACCGGGUCUACCUACCUUAUGACAUUUAUGAAAAACGAACGUUGUAUUAAGGGGUUUCUAUCAGUUAGUAACAAAGCCGGCAGUAUCCUUGAAUUCAGGGGUCAGCUACGGGAGGUAUGUCUCCAUGUGUGCCGAAGAAGCGUCUAUCAUUAUACGCUGUUUAUCCAAUCAAAAACUUCUUCGUUUAGUUGGUAGAACCCACGCCAAUAUCAUAUUGACUCUCUCUCGUCCAAUAAGAGUUUCCGAGAGUUACUUUAUUCAAAUUCUCUCCUUUCCAAAGCUCCACAAGGAAAAAAGAGUAAUAGGACAACAAUAUUGCUUUCAUUUAUUUUGAGUUCUUUCUUUGUUGAGAUGGAAAUCGACGUUCUUUUGAAAAGGGCUAGGUAGUUUGCACGCAGGCAAAACUUCUUCAUGAAAGGUAAAAAAUAGACUUGGAUUUCAUGGGUUUCUUAAUGACUAGUCGUUCGUUUGAAGCCUUAAGAAACCAGCAGAGAAAGCGGCAGUUUUUUUUUCCGAAUGACCUUAUUUCGAGAAUCAACUAACCGACAAAUCCGUAGCCCAGGUGAUUCGCUGCCUCCCUCUCGCCAAAAUGGGAUGAAUCUUCUCAUGCAGCUUUUUGAUUAUUCAGGGCGCAGCGAAGCCAAUUUCCAUCAAGGCAAGGGGGUAAAUAAGGGGGAAGAGGAGUUGUAACGAUAGAAAAGAGAAAUGACUAUAAGGAACCAACGAUUCUCUCUUCUUAAACAACCUAUAUACUCCACACUUAACCAGCAUUUGAUAGAUUAUCCAACCCCGAGCAAUCUUAGUUAUUGGUGGGGGUUCGGUUCGUUAGCAGGUAUUUGUUUAGUCAUUCAGAUAGUGACUGGCGUUUUUUUAGCUAUGCAUCACACACCUCAUGUGGAUCUAGCUUUCAACAGCGUAGAACACAUUAUGAGAGAUGUUGAAGGGGGCUGGUUGCUCCGUUAUAUGCAUGCUAAUGGGGCAAGUAUGUUUCUCAUUGUGGUUCACCUUCAUAUUUUUCGUGGUCUAUAUCAUGCGAGUUAUAGCAGUCCUAGGGAAUUUGUUCGGUGUCUCGGAGUUGUCAUAUUCCUAUUAAUGAUUGUGACAGCUUUUAUAGGAUACGUACCACCUUGGGGUCAGAUGAGCUUUUGGGGAGCAACAGUAAUUACAAGCUUAGCUAGCGCCAUACCAGUAGUAGGAGAUACCAUAGUGACUUGGCUUUGGGGUGGUUUCUCCGUGGACAAUGCCACCUUAAAUCGUUUUUUUAGUCUCCAUCAUUUACUCCCCCUUAUUUUAGUAGGCGCCAGUCUUCUUCAUCUGGCCGCAUUGCAUCAAUAUGGAUCAAAUAAUCCAUUGGGUGUACAUUCCGAGAUGGAUAAAAUUGCUUCUUACCCUUAUUUUUAUGUAAAGGAUCUUGUAGGUCGGGUAGCUUCUGCUAUCUUUUUUUCCAUUUGGAUUUUUUUUGCUCCUAAUGUUUUGGGGCAUCCCGACUUGCUUCAUUCAAUAGAGAAGAGACGGACUUCCAUAGAGCAUAGAUACCCGCUUUUGAUUCGGAAUACAUGAGACCCGGGCUUAGAAGUUAUGAGAUGACAGUACCUGAUAGUCAUAUCGACUUAAGGACAUGGUUUGGGUCCCACGAGAGGAAGAAACGAAGAUGUCUGGUCGUGGGACUGGUAACCUUGUCUGCUCUAGUACGAGUGAUCCGGUAUUCAUUACAUCAAUUCUAUCGUGUCAAAUCGGGUCAAAUAGCUCAGUCUUUCACUCGAAAGCCUGGCAUCCGCUACCGGUCAACUACUCUUAACUCCUGGGGUCGGAAUAAGCUUCCGCUUCUCAGCCAUAUCCAUCUUCAGCUUCUCCGCCUUUCGCUGAUCCACUUUCAUCCGAAUCAGUAGACAUAGUAUCCGGGUGGAAUGCGGGUGCUGUUAACCGGGUUCUUCUUUGAAUUUAUUGCUUGAAUAGAGAAGCUGCCUGCAGACGCCGCAACGAACAUGUAUUCACUAUUGUACGACUAUUCUCGUGCCUACUAUCUAGUUCGAGUCAAAGCAUAAAGCUUGUGCCUCAAUUUAGUGCUUGCUUGCAAAAAGACAUAUUGAAGAAAAGAGUAGAUUCUAAUCAAUAUGGCGCCCCUGGACCCUUUUAUUAAAUAAAAGUGCAGUAUCAAGUAGAAGUUGAUUCCGGUUGAGGAAAAGAAAGCGACUUCUCCAGCACUAGCACUUGCUUGAAUAAGUGCUUGCUAAGGAACCGGCAUAAUCAAAUUGCACGUCUGCUUCCCUUGUUGGGUCCAAUUGAACCCUUAGACAACACCCAAGCUUCCAUAAGAGUGCGAAGUGGAAGUACCUAACAGGGCCCUAUCUUAUUCAAGUCUCAUUUGGAGGGGAUUGCAGGAUUUGAUCCAUCGCCCCCGGUCCAAAGGACAAUAAAAAUAAUGGUACUUCACCUUCGAUUGGAUCUAGCUAUAAUCUACGUUUGGAAGAGUCUAAAGAUAUGGAGCUCAAAGGCAACAGCACGAAGGAACCUUUUGAUUGAGCAAGCAUGCGAAGCAAGCGACAGAGACCAAAUAGGCGAGAUUAGUUAAGGAAACGGGGUACUUCUGUGGCUAGAAGGCUUUUUUAUGAUUUUAAGGAAACCUUGAGGAGAUAUGCUUCAGGCUUAUCGAUUGUCACCCAUAGCCAUUGCUAUAUCUAUUAUAGCUUGAUUUUACUGUGGUAGAUGAACACAAUACUGCGGGGAAAGCUAAAAGACAAUACAGCCGUCCCAUGGGGUAUAGGCGAACGAUACAUUCACCUUAUUUAUCUUCAUUUUCUUCCGCAGCGAGCUAGUAUGCCCAAAGCCAGCAGUGCGUAGGAAGUCACUGAUCGAGCACUCUUGCGCCGACGAAUCCGGUCUUAGAUAGAAUGAAUAGGCGAAGAAAGGACAACCUGCUAGUAAGAAGGUUUCUUUCUGACUUAUGGAAAGCCUUACCUCUUUCUUGGACACGUUUUCGCUGCGCGCCUCUAUGAUAAACGAAAUGGCAGACAUGAACAAAGCAUAUAGUUGGUAUGACGAGAUAUUCUUCUUUCCCGACGGAACUACCUUUCGGCUUCGCUAAAAACACCUGGGCUAUGCCUCAAAGUCUCAACACUGGCCCGGAGGAGAACACUAAUCUACGCAUAAAUAAAAUCUCUGUUCAUUUUUGAUUCAACUGACCGAGACUAGCAAAUCAAUCCUUUUGAAGCACUCAGCUUUCAGACAAGUCUUCAGACUGCCAUGUUUUAGCUUACUUACCUUUGCCUGCCAACGCUAGAAAAGCUAGCUUCCUUGUUUGUGGUACCAGGAAUGUGUCAUCUUGAUCAAGGAGUCUGGAACUCCAUGCUGGGGAUGUAGGAAAUGCUAUUCGUGCCGGUGAAUCGACGAAACUAUGUCCUUUUGCAGCUUUUUGUGCAAUGUCAUAUGUCGUAAAAGAAAAUGUUGGUGCAGGCUGUCUUCGUAUGCUUUUGAAAAAGCAAGAAUUACUACUAUUUAUUGACUUUAUGAAAAGAAAGUAAAUUGACACUUUAUGUCUCUCUUUCGAAAUUGAAACUUGAAAAUAGUAGGAAACGGAAAGCAAGAACGAAGUAGGCGAGGAAAGGCAUACAUAGGUCAGAAAAGUAUGCAUGGUCGUCACGGGUAAGGAUUCUCCUUCCAGCAUUCUUGGGUCUAGUUUUGUUUGGACUUGGGCUUAGAUGUAGUGGGUUCUUGGGCCACUGCUUUACCUUUAUCAACCUUAGAAGGAGCAUUAGUCUUUGACACAUCAAUCAACCCGGCGUAGGAGCAUGGGAUUUGGACACAUCAGCACCAAACCUGUUGUUGAAGUCGAGUAUGAGCUUCUAUUCUAUCCAAUCGAAAGAAGAAGCAAAGGCUUUUCUCCUUAUCUUUGCAUUUAAGUUCUCGAAAGGAGAAUCGGAGGCUUUACACCUAUCUUUUCUACUUGCUUUUCGUUUUCUAAAAACAAGAGAUCUAGGAAAUGAAAGGAAUUCAUUAUCGAUAAGCUGUGGGUAGAACAGCACAACGAUAGAAACAUGAGGAAAAUCGUCUUCAUCAAGAAGAUAUUUAGCAAUUUUUUCUAUUUUCUAGGCGGAAGAGAUAAAAUAAAUAUUGUUACUGGGCUAGGAUGUUCAUUUGGGAAGGAUCUCGGAUGAAGCUCCAGAGUUCUUGACCAGUGGAGUCAAGUGGAGAAGGCGUUACUUGAUAGGAAAGCAAAUUUUUUUUGCAGGAAUUGUUGUUGUUUCAGCGCGGUAACGAAGGAUGUCUUUCUACCUGCACUUGACCCCGGAAAGUUGUGGUGUUUUCUAUCUUAGAGGAUUAACCACGCCUUUAUGCAAAGGCGAUGCCGAAGAACAUAAGCGGUUGUUUAAAGCAGUGGCGGCGCAUCCGCCUCUAUCCAUCACCAGAGUCUUUCUAGGUUUGUUCAAUAUCAUUUAUAUGUCAUAUGUCAAGGGCUAAAUAUAUGGUAGCCGAUUAUAUACUCCGCGUAGGGCGAAGUUUGUCCCAGUUGGUAGUUAUAUAUAGGUAUAGCUGGAGCCCUAGACAGUCUAGCCAUAUACCAUAUCAUGGGUUGUGGGCUACUCUGGAAGGAGUGGUGACCCAGCGCGAUAGGUUGCUUUUACUAUUACAAGACUGGCUUCCUGGUCAAGUCAGCCUCCUUGAGUUUGUCUUACGGACGGAGUGGGCUUUUCCCCAGGGGGUCUAGUUUUAAGGCAAGUAGGCCUAUUGAGAUGCAUAUAACUUUUCAUCUUAUCACCCCGCCUAGCGACUUUGCAAGCAUUAAAGGCUAGGCACCUAACAGCGGUUAUUCCUCCAACAGGUUAUUCUGGGUUACGCUAAACCUUCAAGCCUUUUACCAGCAGAUGAAUACUUAAUCUAUCCCCUCUGCGCACGGAAAGGGAAAGCUACUCUUCAAGAGUAUAUGCCGAAAAUCCUAUGUUUGGAGUGACCAUGAACACACUGCUUGAGACCCUUCUUUCGUGAGACAGUUGUGAUUCCGCUUUCAUGUUUUGGAUUGAGCUUUGUCACUCUUUCUAUGCCUCUUUCUUUUUCUUGGAGGACAACACACACGCGGCGCUAAGGUUCCCGUGGCAACUGAACUAGGAUUCGAAGCCAGGAUGAGCGGAUCUACCGCUCCAGGUCCUUUCCUAUUCUUAUACUAAUAUGUGUAAGUUCCUUGCGUUUAGAACUAGAACGUGAGGCAUAGUAAUGGCGCAUGUGUGAUAUUCUAUUGAUCCUGUUUAGGCUGCUUUAGGAAAGCACUCAAGCAGGAAUGGAUAAAAUGUCUUCUGCUGCAAUCCUAACUGCAAUGGCCCUCGCAGCUUUAGUGCAACAAGCCGAUCGAAAGCACUCAUCUUUAUCGACUAAAUGCUUUUUUGUCUCUUCCUCACUAAACGCCCGCUUCCUGGCUCCUCCCUCUUUGCCUAGCGGUUAAGUAGAUAGUAGGUCCCCCCCUGGCCCCGCAACCAAGAGUCACUCGUCGAAAGCUGACCAGGAAGACAAUAACUGCUAUUUCAAGAAAGCAUGGUUGGAGUUCUUCUAUUGACGAAGGGAAGAGGACGGUCUUACUUUUCAGAGAUACCUGACUUAUUAAUGGACUGGUCAUGUCAUAGCGGAAGGUCAGAGGUGGGAAACAAGGAAACAGAGGAAAUGCUUACUGGGACAUAGCCUUUGGUACGAGUUGAAGGGAAGAGGUUUGAUUGCUAAUAAAAUGAGUGGAAGAGCUGCUCGGUCAAAGGCCUUCUCUCAAGUAGCAAAGGCAAGACGGAAAAGCAGGAAUGAAGGUUGCUAGGUACCGCUCCGUGGUAACAUCUAUCGAUUCCGCUAUCGGGAAAGUCUGGCAAGGGGAAUAUCUGGCUGAGGAAUUAGAGGAACUUUGGUAGCACUCGGGGACGGAAUCAAUCAAAGAACUUAAGAAAUUGCCCAUACCGACAGCAGCUCCCGCUUUAGAAAAAACCCUAUCUCAUCAGGCAGGUAUACCUGACCCUUUUUUAGCUAGUUUCGGGAAAGCGGUAAGUUAAGUAAGUCAAGCCCUUCUAAGCGAAGAAUAGCGGAGAGAAAUGGUAACGUAAUAAGGGAAAGGGAGCUAGCUGCUUCCAUAUCGCCCCCAAAAAAGAACCAAAAAGUUCCAGAGGCAUCUUCCAUUCAUUUCGAUUUAGGUCUUUCUGCACCAUAUUUAGAUCUUCCCUUUCUACGAUCCGGAAUUCCCAGCAAAUCCUUGACUCCUCGAAUACGAUGGGAUUUCACACCUGGCGAAUCUUUCACUCUACCUCCUCUGACUAAGACUAUAGAAUGUUCCUGCGAAUUAUGACCUUCGCCUGGAAUGUGAGCAAAUAUAUCAUGUCGAUUGCUCAACCGUACUUUUGCUAUCUUACGUAGAGCUGAAUUAGGUUUUUUCGGUGUUCUCGUCGAAACACGCAGGCAUACUCCUUGCUUCUGGGGACAUUGAUCCGAAGCUCGAGUACGGUCCGUGCGCCGUUUUUCUUCUCUACCAUGACGAAUCAAUUGAUUUUUUGUAGGCAUCCCUCUUUCCUAUGUCCUUCCCCCCUUUGCCCUUUCAAAAGUGGUUACUCCCGAUCCGAAGCACCCCUUUUCCAUUCAUAGAGAGAUCCAAUCGUCAAAAUCAAUAAAAAGGCCAUCAUGGACCAAGAUCCAAACAGAUCAAUCUUGUUAGGAGGUACUGCCCAAGGAAAAGAAAAGGUGACUUCCGGAUCAGGGAUAAUAAAUAAAAUAGGAACCGGAUAAAAUCGUAUAUCGAAACGACUUCUGGCAUCACCGGAGGGAUCGGAACCACAUUCGUAGGCCGACAAUUUUUCUGGAUAGGUCGAACUAUUGGAAGCAAAUGGAAAAGGAACACCGAGUGGAAUCAAAGAAACUAGCGGACUGAUCACUAAAUAGAUACAAAUAGGUGCAAAUUCCGACAUCACCAAAGCCCACUUCGUUCUCUCGCUCUCCUCGCGGCGCUCCUUGCUCGCGGAGCGGCAUACCGAAAAAAAGACGCUCAGAUGUGGAUUCGAACCACUGAAGGAUUUCAAGGGCAAUGCCCCUUGCUCUUCCCACUGAAACAAGAAAAAAAGGAUUUGCAGUCCAGCAAGAAAACGGAUGCGCUAACGCUCAACGGCUUUCGCGCUAGUUGCNNNNNNNNNNUGCUCUAACCAGCUGAGCUACCAGAACCACUUGCCUAAAGUCUCUUUUCUUCAUCUAUGAGCAUCCUACCUGCAGUGGAGGAGCUUGCUCAAG
rnacentral:lncRNA from 1 species